CUACGGGUUGCUGCAGUGAGGAAUAUUGCACAAUGGGGGGAACCCUGAUGCAGCAACGCCGCGUGGAGGAUGACGCAUUUCGGUGUGUAAACUCCUUUUAUAUGUCAAGAAAAUGACGGUAGCAUAUGAAUAAGCACCGGCUAACUCCGUGCCAGCGAGCCGCGGUAAUACGGAGGGUGCAAGCGUUACUCGGAAUCACUGGGCGUAAAGGACGCGUAGGCGGGUUGGAAAGUCAGGUGUGAAAUCCUACAGCUUAACUGUAGAACUGCACUUGAAACUUCUAAUCUAGAGUAUGGGAGGGGGAGAUGGAAUUAGUGGUGUAGGUGUAAAAUCCGUAGAUAUCACUAGGAAUACCUAAAGCGAAGGCGAUCUCCUGGAACAUUACUGACGCUAAGGCGUGAAAGCGUGGGGAGCAAACAGGAUUAGAUACCCGUGUAGUC
rnacentral:rRNA from 1 species